rnacentral:rRNA from 1 species
AGGGUCCGUAGGCGGUUUAGUAAGUCAGUGGUGAAAGCCCAUCGCUCAACGGUGGAACGGCCAUUGAUACUGCUAGACUUGAAUUAUUAGGAAGUAACUAGAAUAUGUAGUGUAGCGGUGAAAUGCUUAGAGAUUACAUGGAAUACCAAUUGCGAAGGCAGGUUACUACUAAUGGAUUGACGCUGAUGGACGAAAGCGUGGGUAGCGAACAGGAUUAGAUACCCUGGUAGUCCACGCCGUAAACGAUGGAUACUAGCUGUUGGGAGCAAUCUCAGUGGCUAAGCGAAAGUGAUAAGUAUCCCACCUGGGGAGUACGUUCGCAAGAAUGAAACUCAAAGGAAUUGACGGGGGCCCGCACAAGCGGUGGAGCAUGUGGUUUAAUUCGAUGAUACGCGAGGAACCUUACCAAGGCUUAAAUGUAGAUUGACCGGUUUGGAAACAGACCCUUCGCAAGACAAUUUACAAGGUGCUGCAUGGUUGUCGUCAGCUCGUGCCGUGAGGUGUCAGGUUAAGUCCUAUAACGAGCGCAACCCCUGUUGUUAGUUGCCAGCGAGUCAUGUCGGGAACUCUAACAAGACUGCCAGUGCAAACUGUGAGGAAGGUGGGGAUGACGUCAAAUCAUCACGGCCCUUACG